GGGUUUCCGUGGGGUGACCUGCGGACCGAUCAUUAACCAGACGAACGGGCUCCGGCCCGAUCCUAAGGGGACUUACCUACCUCUGUUGCUUUGGCGGGCCGCGGGGAUCUCGAGGGCCCCCCCUCCCCGGGGGGUGGCUAGUGCCCGCCAGAGGACCAUCAAACUCCAGUCAGUGAACGUCGCARUCUGAAAAAACAUUCAAUAAACUAAAACUUUCAACAACGGAUCUCUUGGUUCUGGCAUCGAUGAAGAACGCAGCGAAAUGCGAUAAGUAAUGUGAAUUGCAGAAUUCAGUGAAUCAUCGAAUCUUUGAACGCACAUUGCGCCCCUUGGUAUUYCGAGGGGCAUGCCUGUUCGAGCGUCAUUACAACCCUCAAGCUCUGCUUGGUAUUGGGCACCGCCCUUCWUCGGGCGCGCCUCAAARACCUCGGCGGUGGCUGUCUUGCCUCAAGCGUAGUAGAAUACACCUCGCUUCGGAGCGCAGGGCGUCGCCCGCCGGACGAACCUUCUGAACUUUUCUCAAGGUUGACCUCGGAUCAGGUAGGGAUACCCGCUGAACUUAAGCAUAUCAAUAAGCGGAGGAA
rnacentral:rRNA from 1 species